GCAGGUGAAUGCAACGUCAAGCGAUGGGCGUUGCGCUCCAUGUUGUCUUACUUCCAUUUUUUUGAAUUACUGCAUAGCACAAUUGAUUCACAACAAGCCGACAAUUUGUCGGCUUUU
rnacentral:sRNA from 1 species